UGUACCGCUGGUCCGCUGCUGCCGCUCACAGCCACUCAUUCCACUGAGAGGGAGGAUUCUGACCAGGUAAAAUCCGCCGUUCAGGGUCGUGGCCGGCGGCAAGACCGGAGCUGUAUAGCGUCGUCCGUCUCCGACGCUCUUCUUCGCCCGGAGCUGCCAUGGUAGCCACACCCGUCUUCGGCGCGCUGGGGCCGUUGUCUCAGGCGUGCACCGCUCGCUCGCCUCAGGCGCGCUCUGCUCGCUCGCCUCAGGCGCGCUGCGCCACGCCCGGCCGUGGCCUUGGCUGCUGGCGGCAAGACGGUGGUCGUCGCAGCUAGUGCUGCCCACCUCCGGCGCACCCAACGGCAGGCCAAGGUUCUGGCUGACCCGCUCCCUGGGAUAUGGUGGAUGGUGGAGCUGCUGCGCGUGCAGCCGGUGGCCGAGAUUCCGCCGGAGGUCGCGCAGUCGUACUAGAAGAUGCGAACACAAUGCAAACUAAACAGGCAAAGCUUUGGCGGCCGCUUAGCCGCCCCCAGGACCGGGACGUCAUCAACACUCUCCUCGCCGACCUUCGAUCGAUGGCCUUCCACUUGGCGCCUCCGCUCCCACCCCACCCCCCAGCCCGACUAGUUGCUCUUUGCACCCCGCGUGUGCUUUUUUUUCUGGUUUUCAGGGCUUGUUGAGCUGUGCCCUCAGCAUUAACCCUCGGAUUCUCCUCUGUGUGAGACUGUUGUGUGUGUGUGUGUUUGAACCUUGUUGGAUGUUUGGCUUGGUCGGUUGCUUUAUAAUAUAAAGCGGGGCGAAAGCCUUUUUCGGUAAUGAAGCCAUCUAUGACACUACUACUAUGUUACUUUGCACUACGGAGGUAGUAACUUAGAUUAGUGUCAUAUGCAUGGGACGCAGAGUUUCUGCACCCGAGCUCAAAUGAGCUCGGGUGAACAGUAAAAUCAAAACUAAAUAAAAAAAUUCAAAAAAAUCCAAUUUUUUUGGGAGAAACAUUGACAAAGUUUUAAGUGCUUGCAAAAAUUCGUCGUGAAAUCACAUUCCUAGAAGGCGUGGCAAAAAAAAACAAAAUCGGUACUCUGAAAAUGCUACUUUCAAAAGCAUUUUGGAGCACUCAAUUUUUUUUUUUGCCACGCCUUACAGGAAUGUUAUUUCAUGAUGAAUUUUUGCAAGCACUUAGAACUUUUGUCAAUGUUUCUCCCCAAAAAAAAAUUGGAAUUUUUUGAUUUUUGCAAGCACUCAAUUCGUCGUGAACUUUUGUCAAUGUUUCUCCCCACGUGGACACUACUAUAAGUUACUCCCCACUAUGACCAGCCUUACUACAUCUACGUAGAUAUUCCAUAUAGAGCUACGUAAGAGUCUCCACGUGGGAUGACUGACCUAUGUUUCUCCGUAGGUGUGCAAUGUCAUUUUCAGUGCGGUCCAAUGCUUCGUUAUGUGUGUGAAAUGUCAUUUUCAAUGGGUCCUAUGUACGUAAUGCUUAUCAUGAUCUUAAUGGACUUUAUUGUCCCUAAAUGUUUCACCUAUGCUUUUUGUAAAUUUAAUGGAUGUAAAAAGUCGGUGUCACUGGAUGUCUCAUCUAAUGAUUUCCACAAAUUUAAUGGAUGUGACAUGUCAAUGUCACUAGUAGGGUUGUGUGCAUUUUGCUUCACCGUUUGUGUUGUUAGCAUAUCAUAAUAGAAUUUAUUUAGUUUGGUGUGUGAGAGAGAUGAUGGUGUAUGUGUUUUUUAUAUAUAACACAGUGUUUUCGUGGGCCCUUUCUGAAGUUGAGAUUUUGUGUUAUCUGCUACUCAACCCACAUGUAUGUGGAAAAGUUUCUUGCGCUGGCAACCACAUGUACUAUAUUAUGUUACGGUUUCGUAUGCUGAUGAUUCAUUUUUGCCAGGUGAUGAGAGGUUGCACGAGACUCAUGUGUUUUUAUAGGCUGGUUGUUGCCGAUUGAUUUAGAAAACCAAUGACACGGUCAAAAUCAUGAAGCAAAUUCAAAAUUGAACACCUCGAUCAAAAUCAUUGACGCAGUCAAAAUUCUGAACCUGAUCCUAAAUCGAACACCUCAAUUGAAUAACAAUCAUGAACCAAAUUCAAAAUAACCUUAAUUAAAAUCAUUGACCCAGUCAAAACUGUAAACUUAGAUUCAAAAUUGAACACCUCAAUUGAACGAGCGAGCUAAAAUUAGGGUCCAUAGUGUAUUGUAGAUAGUUUAGAUGUUUCAUUUAACAUUUCUCCUCCUGUGAAGUGGCUUCCUCCUCCAGAGGGUUGGGUGAAGCUCAAUACGGAUGGUUCCUGGACUGAUGAUGGAAGGGCUGGUGCUGGUAUGGUGCUUCGCGAUAAUCUAGGCAAUAUUAUUUACUCAUCUUGCAGGGAGUUAUUUUCAUGCCGAGAUGCCCUUGAAGCAGAAUUAUGCGCAUACAUGGAGGGUUUAUCCAUUGCUAUUCAGCGGACGGAACUUCCAGUUUGUAUCGAGAUGGAUUCAAUUAUAGCGGUGAACAUGUUGAAGGACAAGGACAUUGACAGGUCAAUCUAUGCGUCUUUGGUGGCAGAGAUAAAGUACUUGAAGUCUCUUCGAACGACCAGUAUUAUUCAUAUCAAGCGUGGUCAAAAUUUAAUUAGUGACUUUUUAGCUAGUUUUGCUAGAACUGAGAGUAGAACUGUUGUCUGGUUGGGAUCAGGACCCCCAGAGGUCAUCAAUUUAUGUAAGCAGGAUUGUACGUUUGAUGCUUGAUUAUUAUAAGUUUAUCCCGAAAAAAUUAAUGAAGAGUAAAAUGCACUCUGACUAUCUAA